UGUAUUUUCAGGCCUGUUAGAAAUUUUAACGAGGUUACCCACCAUCAUGUAGAGUGCAUUCACCAGCAUAUAGUACACCAGAAGUUACAGAAAGGCGAGUCCCUUCCUCAGAGUCAGACAAUGGACGCAUCACAUAGCACCCCGGUCAAAGUUGAAUCCAAUGGAAUUCACUCGUCUCCAUCUAAUCAGUUCCCUAUGCAGAUGAGUGUUGAUGGGUUAAAAGACAUUGAGCAGAGGGUUAUUGAGUAUUUGCAGCAAUCUUCAAG